rnacentral:lncRNA from 1 species
CAACUGCCAAUCUGUCUGGACUUAGGUUAACUCCACAGAUGCUCAUAGGAAAACCAAUGCCACAUUGCAGGGACUUACAAUGGAUCCUCACAUACAAGAACAAAAGCAACAAUAUGGUCAUAGGAAUGCAAAUGCCAACUUGCUGGGACUUACAGUUGCAACCUCACAUAAACAGAGAAAGCAAAACAUGGAUGUCAGAUGCCAAUCUGUCUGGACUUACUCUAACAUACACAGUAUGAUCCUAGGAAAACAAAUGCCAACUUGCAGGGACUUACAGUUG